AAGAGAAACGAGACAGGCAGCUCAAUCAAUGAGCAAUGCAAGUCCUGCACAUACGCGCGCGACGGCGCGGCAAGUCUGGUACGCAGCGCAGCUGCAGGCCAACCAUCAGCGCACGUUGCCCCUUUUCCUUUAUGUUUCCUCUUUCUUUCUUUCUUUCCCUGACGUGGGGCCCCGCAGCUAUCUUCAACCUCAAGCCAAAAGUUCAUCCCACCUACGCGUAUGAACCAGAACCGAAAAUCUCCCUUUUUCUUCGCCGAUUCCGUUCGAUUCGUGCUCCUCUGCCACGAAAACCCUCCUAUAAAUACCUCAUAAUCUUCUCUGUAUUUUGCCCCUAAAAACCCUAAUUUUGGUGCCGCCAAGCUGCCAAAAUUUCUCACCGGAGUUCGCGCCGCCGCCACCGUCGCUGAGCUUCGAAGAGCACAACUCCAGUAAAACGUCGCCGGAGUUCAUCACCACACGAGCUGCUCCAUCCGCACGCAUCAGCCGCUCGGGGAGCAGAAAGAGGACGUGAAGACCGCUGCUGUGACCGCCGUCUCCUACCGCACCUCGUCGCCCCAAGCCCUUCAUUGUUCGUCUGAUCUUUUCCCCUGAAUCACCUCGUUGUUCUGAUUGUUCACCAUCUCGCGCAGAGCACCGUUGACGCGAGCCGUAUCCAUCGCCGAAGUUCUGCCGCAGCAAAGCUCGGUCAGCUAACUGCCAUCCUCGAUCGAGGAAGGAGGAGACGCUGAAUAUCCAGUCUUCGAGACCCCCGUGAAGCCCCGCAGCCCCGUCGACCACUACCCCAAGCCGGAGGAGCAUCUAGCCGACGUAAACGACUCUAACCCGCCAGGCCGGCACCGUCACGUCAACCAUGCCGAUAGUUCCAUCGUGCUGUGCUUAUAGAUAUUCCGAUGAACGAGUGAGGUUCGAUGGUUAGGGUUACGAGUCUAUACUCGACAUGCUCGCCUGUGGCACAUGAAGACGAAGGACUCCAUGCUGAUAUGUUUCGUUGUAAACUCUGAUAUAAUGCUAGCUUCGGGCUAUGCAAUUUGUAAUGUUUACUUUGUAAUUACUGGAUCAUGCGAUGUAAUAAAGACCUUUGUUUCUUGGUAUUA